CUACGGAGGAUCCGAGCGUUAUCCGGAUUUAUUGGGUUUAAAGGGAGCGUAGGCGGACGCUUAAGUCAGUUGUGAAAGUUUGCGGCUCGACCGUAAAAUUGCAGUUGAUACUGGGUGUCUUGAGUACAGUAGAGGCAGGCGGGAUUCGUGGUGUGGCGGUGGAAUGCUUAGAUAUCACGAAGAACUCCGAUUGCGAAGGCAGCCUGCUGGACUGUAACUGACGCUGAUGCUCGAAAGUGUGGGUAUCAAACAGGAUUAGAUACCCUGGUAGUCCACACAGUAAACGAUGAAUACUCGCUGUUUGCGAUAUACAGUAAGCGGCCAAGCGAAAGCGUUAAGUAUUCCACCUGGGGAGUACGCCGGCAACGGUGAAACUCAAAUGAAUUGACGGGG
rnacentral:rRNA from 1 species